UACGGGGGGGGCAAGCGUUGUUCGGAAUUACUGGGCGUAAAGGGCGCGUAGGCGGUUCGCUAAGUUGAAUGUGAAAACUCUGGGCUUAACCCAGAGCCUGCAUCCAAAACUGGCGAACUGGAGUACUGGAGGGGAAAGCGGAAUUCCUGGUGUAGCGGUGAAAUGCGUAGAUAUCAGGAGGAACACCGGUGGCGAAGGCGGCUUUCUGGACAGUAACUGACGCUGAGGAGCGAAAGCGUGGGGAGCGAACAGG
rnacentral:rRNA from 1 species